UACGUAGGGUGCAGGCGUUAAUCGGAAUUACUGGGCGUAAAGCGUGCGCAGGCGGUCUGCUAAGAGAGGUGUGAAAUCCCCGGGCUUAACCUGGGAACUGCGUCUGAUACUGGAAGGCUUGAGUAUGGGAGAGGGAUGUAGAAUUCCAGGUGUAGCGGUGAAAUGCGUAGAUAUCUGGAGGAAUACCGGUGGCGAAGGCGGCAUCCUGGACCAUUACUGACGCUGAGGCGCGAAAGCUAGGGGAGCAAACGGG
rnacentral:rRNA from 1 species